rnacentral:rRNA from 1 species
UACGAAGGGGGCUAGCGUUGCUCGGAAUCACUGGGCGUAAAGCGCACGUAGGCGGACUCUUAAGUCGGUGGUGAAAUCCUGGAGCUCAACUCCAGAACUGCCUUCGAAACUGGGAAUCUUGAGUCCGGGAGAGGUGAGUGGAACUGCGAGUGUAGAGGUGAAAUUCGUAGAUAUUCGCAAGAACACCAGUGGCGAAGGCGGCUCACUGGCCCGGUACUGACGCUGAGGUGCGAAAGCGUGGGGAGCAAACAGGG